rnacentral:lncRNA from 1 species
GUUUUUUUUUGUACAAAUAUUUUGUAGGCUUGAUGCAGUUGAAAAAUUCCUAUGAUGAAAGAACUGCUUUUUAUCAUCAUUUUAUAGAAGGUGAACUGAAGGCCAAAUAUACUGAGUACCGGGGUCCUGUUCAAUACUUGCUGAAGGCUGCCACAGAUGCAUGGUGAGACCUGUGGCUGAGAUGCUCUGCCUCUGCCCCCCCAGCUCCCUCCCCCCCCAGGCUCUGAUUUGGUUCUCUGAUCUGGCUUUCAGACUGGGAGAUUUGACAAACAUGGAGGCUGAACCUGUGAAUGAUGGAAGCUUUUUAUUGGCUUACCAAAAGCAAUGGCUUUUACAACUUGUACAACUAAAAUGAACAGUAAAAACAAAAACACAUCAUGAUGCAAGUUGCUGAGUAAUCACAUAUCCUUCUGGUAAGUAGAAAAUACACUUUUGCUAACUAAAUACUAUGUUCACAAAGAACAAAAUGU